rnacentral:rRNA from 1 species
UUCUGGCUCAGGACGAACGCUGGCGGCGUGCCUAAUACAUGCAAGUCGAACGGUCUUUCUAUGGAAGCUUGCUUCCACUGAGAAGAUAGUGGCGAACGGGUGAGUAACACGUGGGUAACCUGCCCAUAAGAGGGGGAUAACAUCCGGAAACGGGUGCUAAUACCGCAUAGUUUUCUUGAUCGCAUGAUCGGGAAAGGAAAGACGGCCUUUGUGCUGUCGCUUAUGGAUGGACCCGCGGCGUAUUAGUUAGUUGGUGAGGUAACGGCUCACCAAGACGAUGAUACGUAGCCGACCUGAGAGGGUGAUCGGCCACAUUGGGACUGAGACACGGCCCAAACUCCUACGGGAGGCAGCAGUAGGGAAUCUUCCGCAAUGGACGAAAGUCUGACGGAGCAACGCCGCGUGAGUGAAGAAAGGUUUUCGGAUCGUAAAACUCUGUUGUCAGAGAAGAACAAGUUGGAGAGUAACUGCUCCAGCCUUGACGGUAUCUGACCAGAAAGCCACGGCUAACUACGUGCCAGCCGCUGC